rnacentral:rRNA from 1 species
CCCUCGUACCUUUUGCAUCAUGAUUUAGCCAGUAAUAUUUUAAGCAAAGAGCGCUUUAGUUUUUAACCCCGAAACUAGUGUGAGCUACUUCGAGACAGCCUAUAGAUAGGGCAAAUCCGUCUCUGUUGCAAAAGAGUGGAAAGAUCUCCAAGUAGAGGUGAUAAACCUACCGUACCUAGUUAUAGCUGGUUGCCUGGGAACUGGAUAGAAGUUCAGCCUCACGGCUUCUGCCCUCGCCGCCUUAACCCCUAAGGAUCGCCUAAAGAAACCAUGAGAGUUAACCGAAGGAGGUACAGCUCCUUUGAUAGAAGCCACAACUUCUCCAGGAGGGUAAAGAUCAUAUUUAUUCAAGGCAAAAUGUUUUGGUUGGCUUAAGGGCAGCCAUCCCCACAGAAAGCGUCAAAGCUCAAACAUACCCGCCUCCCAUCCAAUAAGGAUAAUUUUAUCUUAGCCCCCUGACCCUUACCAGGCCGUCCCAUGCCCCCAUGGGAGCGAUAAUGCUAAUAUGAGUAAUAAGAGAGCCCGACUCUCUCCACGCACACGUGUACCUCGGAACGGACUCCCCACCGAAUAUUAACGGCCCCAGACAAGAGGGAAAUGAAUGAUAGGAGCGACAACUAGAAAAACACUCAACC